UGGGGAAUAUUGGACAAUGGGCGAAAGCCUGAUCCAGCCAUGCCGCGUGUGUGAAGAAGGUCUUCGGAUUGUAAAGCACUUUAAGUUGGGAGGAAGGGCAGUAAGCGAAUACCUUGCUGUUUUGACGUUACCGACAGAAUAAGCACCGGCUAACUCUGUGCCAGCAGCCGCGGUAAUACAGAGGGUGCGAGCGUUAAUCGGAUUUACUGGGCGUAAAGCGUGCGUAGGCGGCUAAUUGAGUCGGAUGUGAAAUCCCCGAGCUUAACUUGGGGAUUGCAUUCGAUACUGGUUAGCUAGAGUGUGGGAGAGGAUGGUAGAAUUCCAGGUGUAGCGGUGAAAUGCGUAGAGAUCUGGAGGAAUACCGAUGGCGAAGGCAGCCAUCUGGCCUAACACUGACGCUGAGGUACGAAAGCAUGGGGAGCAAACAGG
rnacentral:rRNA from 1 species